UACGUAGGUGGCAAGCGUUGUCCGGAAUUAUUGGGCGUAAAGGGCUCGUAGGCGGUUUGUCACGUCGGGAGUGAAAACUCAGGGCUUAACCCUGAGCCUGCUUCCGAUACGGGCAGACUAGAGGUAUGCAGGGGAGAAUGGAAUUCCUGGUGUAGCGGUGAAAUGCGCAGAUAUCAGGAGGAACACCGGUGGCGAAGGCGGUUCUCUGGGCAUUACCUGACGCUGAGGAGCGAAAGUGUGGGGAGCGAACAGG
rnacentral:rRNA from 1 species